UACUCUAUGCAAGUAGGCAUAGGGGAAGAGGAUUGUUGUCAACACCUCCAGGAUUAUUCUUGUGAGUUGUGGAU
rnacentral:ncRNA from 1 species